GCAAGUCGAACGGUAAGGUCUCUUCGGAGAUACACGAGUGGCGGACGGGUGAGUAACACGUAGGAAUAUGCCCUUAGAUGGGGGACAACUCAAAGAAAUUUGAGCUAAUACCCCAUAUGUCGAAAGAUGAAAGAUUUAUCGUCUAAGGAGUAGCCUGCGUUUGAUUAGCUUGUUGGUGGGGUAAAAGCCUACCAAGGCGACGAUCAAUAGCUGGUUUGAGAGGAUGACC
rnacentral:rRNA from 1 species